rnacentral:rRNA from 1 species
UGGUCUUGACAUCCCGAGAAUAUCCGUGAAAGCGGAAGGUGCUUCCAUUAGGAAGAGCUUGGAGAC